UACGGAGGGUGCAAGCGUUGUCCGGAAUUAUUGGGCGUAAAGCGCGUGCAGGCGGCCUCUUAAGUCUGAUGUGAAAGCCCCCGGCUCACGCGGGGAGGGCCAUUGGAAACUGGGAGGCUUGAGUAUAGGAGAGAAGAGUGGAAUUCCACGUGUAGCGGUAAAAUGCGUAGAGAUGUGGAGGAACACCAGUGGAGAAGGCGACUCUUUGGCCUAUAACUGACGCUGAGGCGCGAAAGCGUGGGGAGCAAACAGG
rnacentral:misc_RNA from 1 species